AGACCUGAGUGAGAUAAACACACAAAGAGAGGGAGGAGGAUGGUAUCAAUCUUAAAUGCCAGCAUUUAAUAUUAGGGCCUUAGUCUGAGCAGAGAAAGACCAGCCCACAUUAUCGGCAGCUGUGACAAUCUAAAAAGAAUGAGGCGUUCUUCCAUAUCACCACAGGGGGGCACUGUCACUGAAAGGUAGGAAAAUCUGAUGGGGGAGUGUUCUGCAGCAAGCAUGGAUGAUACAUGACACCAGAAAAAGGUGGAAUCCCCAAGAGGCAGGGCCUCUAUGACAUCACUGCUUAAGGACCACCACCCUUAGCCUUUCUAUGUGAGGCUGCCGAGUUGGCACUUCAGCAGAUCACCCAGUGUUUUUCUGAGUUCUAUAGUGGAUAUUUUCCUUUGAUUUAUCCGAUUUUGUGAAUUUUCGAUUCUAUUCUUGGAUUUCUGCAUUUGGGAUUUCGUAUUGGGACUUGUUCGCCUUGGGUUACCUUUACAGGAAAAUUUUUCUUGCACUUCUUCCUUCCCUGUUUUCUGUUUUUGUGAUUUUUUGGUUGCUUUUUGUAAAUAAUCCCUUGAUUUAUAAGGAUUUGUGUCUCAUCAUAUUUUUUGGGACAUUUAAGGUAUAUAUUGAAUUGUAAAAGGCAGGGCUCCAUUUUAGGUCUGUGCAUGGCAAAGCCUGCCUCAUGUUUGGUGGCAAGCUGCCCCCAACCACACUGCACCACAUGCCUGCAUUUUGGGACUUUUGUAAAGCCUCCCACUCUUUUUGCUGUGUUUGUGACUCCUAUUCACACCAAAAGCAAAGGUCGGAUAAGCCAACAAUUUAAAAGUCAGCUAAACAGAUCAUUCAAAGCAGUUACAGUGGUCAUUUAAGGAGUCUGUAUUUGUUAUUAUGAAGAUGUCAGGUAGCUUGCCUGAAGCAAAUCUGGACUUUGGAGUCUAGAGAGUGAAUCACAAAGUAUACCCCUCCUGAACAGAAAGUGCCCUCCGGGGGACUGGAACUGCAAUUUCUUGGAGGGAAUGCUUAGAAAGAACAGGACUGGGCACCUACAGACUGACAGAGUAUAAAACAUAAAUAGUACAGGAAUAACACUCCAGCUUUACAGAUGGUAUACAAGUCCAUCAUUAUGCAAUCAUAAAAUCAGCUCAGACAAGACACACCGUGCUGCUUGCAUAACCUGGCACACAAUGGCUUUAGCAAACACGACUGAGUGGGUCAUACCAGAGCAGAACGCAGCACUAGCGCCAGAAAGUGGGGCAAAAGACAAAGCAAGCUGGUGGGGAAGUUCAGAUUGCUGUGUAAGAUACCUGUUUUUGGGGCUGAAAGGGGGUAUAUUACUGAUCAAUGUACCUAUAGUGACCAUCCAGGCAAAAAGAAGCAUCAAAAUUGUGCAAUGUGCAGUACACCUCAACAUGUCAGACAAGAGGGAUAUUAAAGAGGUCUACAUGACACCAUGAAGACAACAAGAAUAGAAGACAGACAGUAUGAAACAGACUGGCAAGAAACUGAAGAUUUAUACAAAGGUAUCUGUUACUGUCUUGAGAGAUGAGGGCAAACUACAUCUGACCAGGGCAGCAGCAGAACAGAAAGACCCAGAUGGACAACUGCAUAAGAGGAGGACAUCAGAGUGUGUAGUGUGAGAAACAAACGCCCUACAGAUCCUUAGCUGGACGACAGGCUGCUGCCACAAUAUCUAUUUUAGAUCUCAUGGCAUACCUCCAUACCUCUCCCAAACACAAUAUACCGUAUAUACACACUGUGACAGGUCAGGGGGCCCUUAAGUCUUAAAACUGGUUCAUGUACAGAGGAGACGCACUUUAGCCAUGUGGGAGACAGCUAAGCAGUCGCAUGUAAAUUCCUAUAUGUCAUGGUGGUACAAAGCUUUAAAGUUGGGUUACUUAUGUUCUUUGUCCGGGCUGCUGUGUGUCUUUUAGAUGGUCUGCAGCUCUGCUCCUGCCACUCUUCAACUUGAUGCUUUAGAAGAU